rfam:Zootermopsis nevadensis contig21907, whole genome shotgun sequence.
GCCACGGUGGUCUAGCGGUUAGAACGCUGACCUUGUAAUCCUGGGGUCUCGGGUUCGAUUCCCGGCGGUGCCC